rnacentral:lncRNA from 1 species
GACGUUCACCGUUCCUUGGUCCCCAAAUUGGAGAUGUGGGAAAGUCUCUUGGGAUCGAGAGAGCUCGUUCUCAAGCAUCUCAAGAAGACAACACGGUUUUUCCACUCCAGCGUUGAGAAGACAUUGCAUCCUAACCUAAAGUUCUUGAGGGAUGAGUGCGGCAUUCCUGAAGAAAGGGUCUCUGUCGUCUUGAGAAGUCGCCCACAUUUAUUCUCGCAGAAACCAGAGUCUCUCCGAGCUUUGGUGGUGAGAGCCGAUGAGCUGGGGAUACCACGGCAAUCUCGGAUGUUCAUGUGGACCCUUCAUGUUUUCCACAACGUAAGCAAAGAAAAGUUCGAGUCCAAGGGCGAGCUCAUGAGGAGCUUCGGGUGGUCGGAGUCGGAGUUUUCUUCUGCAGUCAUGAAAAAUCCCACCUUCUUAUGCAUCUCCCUCGAUAUGUUGCGCAGAAAAGUGGAAUUUUUUAUCAAUGUAGUCGGGUACACCCCUUCCUUCAUCGCCUCCCAUCCAAAUCUCUUGCUAUUGAGUAUGCAGAAGACGGUAAUUCCUCGGUUUCGUGUUUUGGAGAUGUUGAAUACGAAAGGCUUGUGGACUCGACGAGGCAAGUUUUUGUCCUAUGUGACAUUAUCAAAUACAAAAUUCAUGGAGAAGAUUGUUCUACCCUACAAAGAAAAGGUUCCUGAGCUUCUUGAUAUUUUGAGAGCAGGUGAGUGUGAAGGGAAAUGAGCCUUUUAUUUGGUAUCAGAGGAGGAUGAGAAGGGCUUAGCUGAUGGUCUAACUCACGUGUGAAUUUCUCAACAGGAGAUGAGCAGUGAUUCGGCACCUUUUUCCUUGACAACGAGCUGUCUUACAUCAACCACCAGCCUUGGCUACUGAGGUGCAGUCCAGUGAAAGAAUUAUUCCUUGGUGUCAUAUGGUAGUAAUGUUGUAAUUGGAAGGUCUAUGCAGUGGCCAACACAAAAUGUCUUCCAGUUUUACUCAUUAAGGUUCAUGGAAAAGUCUGUUCUUUUUUGCAAAGCAGUAAGCCCCUGGCCUGUUUGAAAUCUCUGAUUGAUGAAGGUAGAUUAUUCCCCUAGUUUGAGAUUUUGGAAAUAGAAUGCAAAUGGCUUCUCUAAAAUUCUAUUGAGGUGUGAGAUUCUUCUCAUGUGACAUGCUAGAUUGGCAUUGUUUUUGUCUUACUAAAUGUUUGCUUGAAUCAUUUUCUGAUUUUGUUUGGCACACUAUUGUUGGUUUGUAUGUGAAUUGCAGGUUUUAGAAAUUCUGCUCAGCAAUUCAACCGAGAUGAUUUUGGAUCUUAUGAACUUUUGGAUUAUGUGCAAAUUGAUUCCGAAUUGUCAUGGACAAAACUAUAAACGAGGUUUUGAUGUAAUGCUCAUAUAUGUCUGUGCAUUUUGGUUUUGUUCAUGCUUUGGAUAGCAUGUAAAGUGUUGACAAUAGGUUUAGUAGUCUCAUUUUCUUUGGUUUUGACGGCUAUCUUAGGCUUGCAAAUAAAGAUUGUGUCCUGUUGGCACUUUUGAGGAAUUCCGUUUGUAGUAGACCAUUUUGGACACUUUUGUUGUGCGAUCAUUCAAAGUUUUUAAGUCUGUCUGUAAUUUGCAUUGGCUAUAAAGUCAUUUGGAUCCCGAUUGUGAUAUUUUUUCUAACACAUUUUCUUUUUUGUAGGUUAUAAGGACCAUAGGAGGUUAUAAGUAGACCUUUUCGGAUGGAUGCGUAAGAGAGUUGCACGAUUUUGGUAAAACCAACUAAGUACGUGACAUAUGGUCUCAAAGCGGGAAAAUCACUUAUAAAAACACUUGGCAAACAAACGUGGGGAACCUAGCGGGGUUACGUUGAGAGUAGCCAGCAAGCAAGAUUGUUUGGGGGAAACUAACAUGGAGAUAUAGGAAAAAAGAAUCGCUCAGAAAAACGAAUAUCUGAGAUUGACAUUUAGAGAAAUAGCUAAUCCUUUGCUCAAGAGGCAUCACGAAGACAAGUAAGCUGGGAAGAAUGUGUAAUGCACAAAGGUUGGAAUGGCUGAGUUCGAGCUACGGCUCGAUAUUGGUAACCAUAAUAGUGUUCAAGGCAAGCGAGACGCUUGGUUAAGGAUGAGACAAUGCAAGAUGUAAUGAGUUAUUCAGCAACCGAAAGAGUUGUGAAAGGUUCACAAAGGUGAGGGGAAUUGUUAACUCGAAGAAUUCGGUACUAAGGGCUUGUAUGCGGACGAUGGAAUGUUCGUGGUCAUCCUAAGGCGAUCGAAACUCGGCACCAUGGAGCAUUGAAACUUUCUCAUCGGCAUGAGAAUGAUACAUCCGUAUAAGGUUGAAGUGUGCAACGAGUUCAAUAUGUUGCUAGGCCUUGGGGUGCAGUAGGGGUUGUAUUGAUGUGGAGUCACAAUCUAACAAGUGCGUUUGCGGGGGCAGAACAAUGCACAGUUUGUUCAGCAAGAUAGAGUAGUCUAAGAGGAUGGUGGUCUCUGAAACUUCCAGAGGGAAAGAUGCGAAGAGAGAAGUUGCUUCAUCGGGACAGAUACCUUGGAGGGAUUAGUCUCGGUUCUCUAGAGGGAGAAUUAUGUGCAACAGACCGUACAUAUUCAGGAGGAGUAUCUCAAAACAACAUCACAAAGCUUAACGGNNNNNNNNNNNNNNNNNNNNGGUGCCAAAGAUGAAGGGAGCUUCAAGGCACAUGCACCCUAUCUCGGAGAAGCAUUUGACAGAGGAACCAAGGCGACUCAACUUGCAGAAGCAAAGUUGGGUUCAUAAGGCUUUGGAAUGGAACAAGAGGACGCGGAGGUCGGUACUCUUGAAGAAUAUGCCACAAUACUGUCAUUCAAGUUGCCAUGAAGGAAGCGGUGCGUAGCGGAGAUUGUGUUGGUGGGGCAAAGGCCCAGGAUCUAGACAAUAGCGCAUUAUUUUCAACAAGGUCGGUGGACUUCAAGAGCUACUAGGCGACGGACUAUCCUAGAACGGUGCUUCAUUUGGGUGUGAUCAAAAAGCAGGUGGACGAAAGUUGAUUGCCAAAGAAGCGAACAUAAUCGAAGGUGGAAGAAGCCCUGCGAUGUGUUGGCAGAGGCCACACAAGAAGGGAUCACAAUCCGAGUUCAUCCUACAAUGAUCAGAAUGUAAUGGAGAUGCUACCAGGAGGCGACAUGGUGCAGCAGAUCGUGGUGGAAUAAUUCGUGACAAUGCGAUAUACACAAAACUAGUCCCGCGAGGGACUAGAUCAUACGAAGAUAUGAUUGGGAGCUCAACUUCGGUAAAUAAUACGAUGACAAGACAUCCUUGGUGUCUCAAGUUUAAGGACCAGAUACAACACUAGGACAAUUGAAUCACUGUUUGACAAUUAGAUAUAAUCAACAAUCCAACGUUUCAUGAGCGGAUCAAUUAGUGAACUCAUUCUCUAAUGAGCACCUGCGUUGUAUCCCUAGUGUCCCCACACGAGUAACUAUGAGACAUGUGGCCUCCGUUAUAUGGAUGGAUGUACAACAUCCUGGUCUAUUUGGUCAUCUCGAUGUCCCUCUCGAGUAACCUUUAACUCCAUCUCGAGUAACCUAUGACUGAGAUUAUUUAGGGUUUAUAUUUAAAAACGAAUCUGUCUCAUUAUCGUGAUCUUAUCACGAUCCAAUUUCUAUUGCAUAGAUCUAUAGACAUCACAAUACAUACAACAAAUAAUAUAAAGUGAAAAAAAUAUCAAAUAAAAAAUUAAUAAAAAAAUAUGUAUCAUGACACCCAUUCAAUCACACAUAUGAUUGGCUUGUAGGGUACCUAUGAUUAGCACGAAUGAGCACUCCCCCAAUAGUGAACGAAGAUGCUUCAUUCUAUAGGAUGAUUUUAUGUUCUCCGAAUAGGGAGAAAUCUAUUUCGCACUAGCAACAAUGGAUAGAGUGAUAUUCCUCAAAUGUCAAAGUAGGGAUACAUUUCUCCUAAUAGCGGAUGGAGGACAUCUAACAACCUACUAAUUCCUGAAAGAAAUCACCCUAUCUGCCCUUUUUAAGGAAACAAAAUCAUCUUAUAUUGAUAAUUUCCAUCGAGAUAAAAUAACAUAUUAAAACAUCUUAAUUUAUCUUUUAAAUAUUAUUAUUAUCAAAUAAUAUCAAUUAGUCUUUAAUUGAUUUGAAUCAUUAUUUAAUCGAUCUAAUUGAAUUAGAUUUAACUAUAACAUAAUUGAAUUAAUUUUUAAUUCUCAUUUAAUCGAUCCAAAAUCAUCUUGUACUAAUAUAAUUUAGAUUAGAUUAAGUUUAAUUUACGUUAAAUAGAUUUAAAUAAAUCAAAUCUAUUCAGAAUCACCUUCAAUCGAUUUAAAUUUAUCAAAUUAGAUUUGGCUUAAUUGAACAUAAAUAAAAUAAAAUAAAGGUAAUAAGUUAAACUUUAUAGUAAUAGGAUAGAUUAAGCUAACCGAUAUAUGCAUGACUAUGCAUGUACCUUAUCAUUAUGUUAGCUCGUAGCCUAUGGACUAAUCAUGUGCAUUGCCCAUGUUGGAUCGAAUUGAACUAGCAGCUAGGCUUAGCCUUUUGGUUGAGUCUAAUCUACGGGUUGUGGUUUAGCUUGUGGGCAGAGCCUAAGCUAAGAGCCUGAUUUACUAAGCAGAUUUCAACCUAAAUCUUAAUUAUUUUUUUAAUUUUAAAUUAUAGCAUCAUGAAAUUAUAAUCAAAACACUUAACUAUUACCAAUGAGUCAUUAAAACAUAAUAAAUAGUUAUAGAUUAAAAAUAUAUAAUUACGUUGAAGGGAAAUUAAUAUUUUUACUCAACUAUUAUACAAAUUUAAUCGAAAUUGAAUAUUACAACUAGUAUGGUGCAUGCAAAAUACAAAUUUUAAAAAUUAUUAUACUAUGAAUAAUUAUAAUAUAUUUUAAUCAAAAAAUAAAAAUUUAAGUACUUGAAUAAAUAGAGAAAAUAUUAGAAACUAUAUAUAGUAUGAAUAAUUAUAAUAUAUUUAAUCAAAAAAUAAAAUUUUAAACACUUAGAGAUAAAAUAAAAUAUUAAUUUUUUAAAAAAUAUAGAAGCGAAAGGAAACAUCUUAUUAAAUAAAAAGAGCCGAGCCCUUCAAGGUAAUAAAUUUUUUAAUUUUUAUAAUUCUUUAAUAUAUAUAUAUAAUUAAUAAAAAUAAUAUCACUAACUUAAAAUAUUGAGUAUUUAUUUUAUAAAUUUUAUUCAUAAGAAAAGAAAGUGAAUAAUUAUACUUAAAGAUUUGAGUAAAGAUGAAAUGGUCAAAUUAGUAUUUUAAGAUCAUUUUAUCCAUAUUUUUGAUAUAAAUAAUUUAUUCCUAUAAUUUUGUAUUUCUUGUGCAUAGUGAAGGUUAUACACACUACGGAUAAGGAGGGUUGUUGUAAUUAGGGUGCCGCUGUGGCUGCUCUCGUCCCACAAUGGUUGCUGCGACGCUCCGCUCCAUACUCCGUCGUAAUAGUCUUCUGCCCUUGUUCGAAACCUGUCGCCUUCGAGAUCUCCUCUUCUUCUCCUCCUAUGUCGACAUUGCUUUCGCCGUAUGCGGCACCACAUCUCCUGAUCCCCACUUCGUGAUGGAAUACCUCGUGAACUCCUGCGGAUUCUCCCCCUCCGAGGUAGCCAAGUUCUCUAAACCCAUUACUUACCUCCGAUCCACCGAUAAACCCGACGUCGUCCUUAACUUCAUGAGAUCUCAGUGCUUCAAUGGUGUCGGUAUCAGGAAGCUGAUAUCUUGGAAAGCCAGUUACCUAUGCAUGAAUGUGGAGAAGAACUUGGCCCCGAAGUUUCUUUUCUUACUCGAUUUGGGCCUAUUGGAGUCGGAUAUCGUCGAUGUCAUCUUGAAGAACCAUGUCAUCCUCCUCCUCAACGUUCACCAUUCCUUCGUUGCCAAAUUAGAGAUGUGGGAAAGUCUCUUGGGAUCGAGAGAGCUCGUUCUCAAGCAUCUCAAGAAGACAGGAUGGUUUUUCUUCUUCAGCUUUGAGAAGACAUUGCAUCCUAACCUAAAGUUCUUGAGGGAUGAGUGCGGCAUUCCUGAAAAAAGGGCCUCUCUCGUCUUGAGAAGUCACCCACAAUUAAUCUCACAGAAACCAGAGUCACUACGAGCUUUGGUGGCGAGAGCCGAUGAGCUGGGGAUGCCAUGGCUAUCUCGGAUGUUUGUGCGG